rnacentral:rRNA from 1 species
AACGAACGCUGGCGGCAUGCCUAACACAUGCAAGUCGAACGAGACCUUCGGGUCUAGUGGCGCACGGGUGCGUAACGCGUGGGAACCUGCCCUUAGGUUCGGGAUAACUCCCCGAAAGGGGUGCUAAUACCGGAUAAUGUCUUCGGACCAAAGAUUUAUCGCCUUUGGAUGGGCCCGCGUUGGAUUAGCUAGUUGGUAGGGUAAAAGCCUACCAAGGCGACGAUCCAUAGCUGGUCUGAGAGGAUGAUCAGCCACACUGGGACUGAGACACGGCCCAGACUCCUACGGGAGGCAGCAGUGGGGAAUAUUGGACAAUGGGCGAAAGCCUGAUCCAGCAAUGCCGCGUGAGUGAUGAAGGCCUUAGGGUUGUAAAGCUCUUUUACCCGGGAUGAUAAUGACAGUACCGGGAGAAUAAGCUCCGGCUAACUCCGU